rnacentral:tmRNA from 1 species
GGGGCUGAUUUCAGCUUGACGGUGUACUUUACCAACUAGUUUGCAGGUCGGAAUGCACUGAACGUUAUCCGGUGCAAACCAAACAAAUGCAAUAGCAUUUAUUUCAGGAGGCGGUUUACUAGCUGCUUUCCGAAAGCGAUUUUCAAAUCCUUUCAAGGCUUUGGCUUUCGCACCAGCUUACGUCUAAAACACGUUUAGCCGCGCAUACAUCGACACCAGAUAGAAGUUAAUGCGUGUCAUAUCAUCUGGUUGCUCGAGACUUACUUUCCAUAAGUCUCGUUAAGACUUCGGAAUAGGAAACGCCACUUUUUGACCAUUUACCGGUAGCAUUUCCAAAUAAGGGCCUGCCAUGCAAGAUUACUCAAUCUGUGAACAAUCCUUGACGCAAUCAAGCAAUUUUUUGCUUCUCACCGUAUCGUUCAGAUACGCUUUGUCGUAAGAAAAUUACUUGCUUAUCGCCAAAUUAUUGCUCUCAAACCUUGAGUACCUUACAUGGCAGACCCUAUCAAAUGGCCUAAACCUGUAGAAGACUAGCUAGAUAAAACAUCGGACCCGGUUGCAAUCACCGGCAGCUCCACCA